rnacentral:rRNA from 1 species
AACGAACGCUGGCGGCAUGCCUAACACAUGCAAUUCGAACGAGACCUUCGGGUCUAGUGGCGCACGGGUGCGUAACGCGUGGGAACCUGCCCUUAGGUUCGGAAUAACUCCCCGAAAGGGGUGCUAAUACCGGAUAAUGUCUUCGGACCAAAGAUUUAUCGCCUUUGGAUGGGCCCGCGUUGGAUUAGCUAGUUGGUAGGGUAAAAGCCUACCAAGGCGACGAUCCAUAGCUGGUCAGAGAGGAUGAUCAGCCACACUGGGACUGGGACACGGCCCAGAAUACUACGGGAGGCAGGAGUGGGGAAUAUUGGACAAUGGGCGAAAGGCUGAUCCAGCAAUGCCGCGUGAGUGAUGAAGGCCUUAGGGUUGUAAAGCUCUUUUACCCGGGAUGAUAAUGACAGUACCGGGAGAAUAAGCUCCGGCUAACUCCGUG